rnacentral:lncRNA from 1 species
AAAUUGCCUUGCCGGAGAAUUUGAAAGCAAAGAGUCAGUAAAAGUGGUAAUGAGGGGGGAAGGGGAGUUUUUAUAAGGAGUACGGCACGGAACCCCAAGGCGGCUAUUAAAUACUUGAGGUGGGCCCAGGCGUGAAAAGGCGUGAAACGUUUCAAAUAUCAAGAAGUGACUGUACGGCUUCCGCAGACAGUUCAUCAUUAUCUGUCAUAACCGUUCAAGUCCUGACCUUUCAAGUCUCCAAUCAUAAAU